GACGAACGCUGGCGGCGUGCCUAAUACAUGCAAGUUGAGCGCUGAAGGUUGGUACUUGUCCCGACUGGAUGAGCAGCGAACGGGUGAGUAACGCGUGGGGAAUCUGCCUUUGAGCGGGGGACAACAUUUGGAAACGAAUGCUAAUACCGCAUGAAAACUUUUAACACAAGUUUUAAGUUUGAAAGAUGCAAUUGCAUCACUCAAAGAUGAUCCCGCGUUGUAUUAGCUAGUUGGUGAGGUAAAGGCUCACCAGGGCGAUGAUACAUAGCCGACCUGAGAGGGUGAUCGGCCACAUUGGGACUGAGACACGGCCCAAACUCCUACGGGAGGCAGCAGUAGGGAAUCUUCGGCAAUGGACGAAAGUCUGACCGAGCAACGCCGCGUGAGGGAAGAAGGGUGUCGGAUCGUAAAACUCUGUUGGUAGAGAAGAACGUUGGUGAGAGUGGAAAGCUCAUCAAGUGACGGUAACUACCCAGAAAGGGACGGCUAACUACGUG
rnacentral:rRNA from 1 species